GUUACUAGUGUGAGUCCUAAUCCAAAAUGACUGGUCUCCUCAUAAGACGAGAAGAUUAGGGAAGCACGUAGAAGAAAUAAGUGAAGCAGAGCCAGGAGAUGGUUCCUGGGGAGAUGUAAGGCCACCAGAGAAAAGUGUCCAGGAAAUAAUGAAGAAGGAAGAUGAAAUACCAAAACCUAAAUCUGUGGUUGUGUCACCAUGCACUCCUAAAAGGGAAAAUGCAGUGUACAUUGCACAUGUAGAUGCUGGCAAUUCAACCACUGGAAGACAAAUACUGUAUUUGACUGAAAUGGGUGAAAACAGGGUAUUUGAAAUGUAUGAAACAGAAGUUAAAAAAGAAACAGAGAAACUUAGUACUUGUCUUGACUCUUAGACACAAAUCAGGAAAAUUGAGACAAGGAUAAAAUAAUAGAAGCGGGUUUUGCCUAUUUUGAAACUGAAAAUAAAUAUUUUACAAUUCUAGAUGCCUCUGGUCACAAGAGCUUCAUCCCAAAUACAAUUGGUGGUGUCUCUCAAGCUGAUUUGGCUGCGCUGGUAAUCUCAGCCAGGAGAAGAGAGCUUGAAAUUGGAUUUGAUAAAAGGACAAACAAGAGAACGUGCAAUGUUAGCAAAGGCAGCAAGUGUGAAACACUUAAUUCUAUUUAUUAAUAAGAUGAAUGAUCCAAGAGCAAAUUGGAGCAAUGAGAGAUAUGAAGAAUAUAAAGAGAAACUAGUGCCAUUUUGAAAAAAGUUGGCUUCACUCCCAAAAACUGCAUUCACUUUAUGCCUGCUCAGGACUAACUGGAGGAAAUUUCAAAGAGCAAUUGAAUUUCUGUACUUAGUACAUUGGAUUACUGUUUAUUACAUAUCUAGGUAAUUUGUCAGACUUCAAUAGAUCAGUUGCUGUACCAAUCAGGCUGCCAAUUUUGGGUAAGUACAAGGAUAUGGGCACUGUUGUCCUGGGAAAGCUGGAAUCAGGCGGUCUGUUUGUAAAGGCCAGCAGCUUGUGAUGAUGCCAGAAAAGCACAAUGUGGAAGGUCUUGGAACACUUGCCAAUGAUGUAGAAGCUGAUACUGUAGCCCCAGAUGAAAAGCUCAAAAUCAGACUGAAAGGAGUUGAAGAAGAGGAAAUUCUUCCAGGAUUAAUACUUUGUGAUGUUAAUAAUCGUGGUCAUUCUGGAGGCACAUUCGGUGCUUAGAUAGUGAUUACAGAGCAUAGAUCUGUCAUCUGCCCAGAAUUUAAUUCAGUGCUGCAAAUUCACACCUGUAUCGAGGAAGUCAAAAUAACAGCCUAAAUCUGCUUGGUAGAUAGAAAAUAAGACUCAACCCUGUUUUGUGAAGCAAGAUCAAGUAUGCAUUGCUCAUUUAAGGAGAGCAGGAACCAUCUGCCUUGAGACCUUUAAAGACUUCCUCAGGUGCGUCAUUUUACCUUAACAGAUGAGGGCAAGACUUGCAAAUGGAAAAGUUCUAAAACUGGUUCCAGAGAAUAAC
rnacentral:lncRNA from 1 species